rnacentral:lncRNA from 1 species
AAAAAAAAAAUCAGAACUUUGAGGUUAUUCAUUCUUAUACAACCAACAUUCACACUUACAAAAGGAAUCAACCAAAAAUCAAAAUAUUAAAAAACACACCAAAUUUAAGAGUCCAAAUCAAAAUUAAGCAGUACCCAUUUCUCAGUUUUCAUGUAAAGAACCAAUUUUCAGCUGAAGACUUAGAUCUAAACGCUACUUAUACUGCAGAUAAUCGAGUAAAAGCUACCCAAAAGAAUAAUUUUCACACUUAUAAUCAAGUUAUCCCAUUACCAUCUUAUAAUUUCAUAAAAAGAAGUAACAUUUUUGCUCCAUUGUUGCAACCCCAUUGAGCAAAACCCCAUCUCAAAUUUAAUUUUAAGACCUGUAUCAAAACAAACCAAUAAUUUAACAGGGGUUUCAGUUUUGUUGGUGUACAUUUCAGUUUAUUUAUUAUUUUUUGAUGAAUCUGUGUUACUGCUUUUUAUUAGGCUGCAAUUAAGAUAUUUUACUAUUAUUCAAGCUACUGAAAAAGAGUAGUAAUUUAUUCAGAAAUCAAUUCCUCAUGAAAAAAGGGUAGAAAUUAAAGCUAAGAAUUUGAUUGAAUUGUAAAAAUGGUAUGUGGCUUUCUUCAAUUUAUGCUCACAUGAUAUAAGAAGGAGAAGAAGAGCAGUGUUUAGUUACCGUCAUCGUCGCUAACUCUGGU